rnacentral:rRNA from 1 species
GUUACGAUUUGAUGCAAGGUUAAGCAGUAAAUGUGGAGCCGUAGCGAAAGCGAGUCUGAAUAGGGCGUUUAGUAUUUGGUCGUAGACCCGAAACCAGGUGAUCUACCCUUGGUCAGGUUGAAGUUCAGGUAACACUGAAUGGAGGACCGAACCGACUUACGUUGAAAAGUGAGCGGAUGAACUGAGGGUAGCGGAGAAAUUCCAAUCGAACCUGGAGAUAGCUGGUUCUCUCCGAAAUAGCUUUAGGGCUAGCCUCAAGUGAUGAUUAUUGGAGGUAGAGCACUGUUUGGACGAGGGGCCCCUCUCGGGUUACCGAAUUCAGACAAACUCCGAAUGCCAAUUAAUUUAACUUGGGAGUCAGAACAUGGGUGAUAAGGUCCGUGUUCGAAAGGGAAACAGCCCAGACCACCAGCUAAGGUCCCAAAAUAUAUGUUAAGUGGAAAAGGAUGUGGCGUUGCCCAGACAACUAGGAUGUUGGCUUAGAAGCAGCCAUCAUUUAAAGAGUGCGUAAUAGCUCACUAGUCGAGUGACACUGCGCCGAAAAUGUACCGGGGCUAAACAUAUUACCGAAGCUGUGGAUUGUCCUUUGGACAAUGGUAGGAGAGCGUUCUAAGGGCGUUGAAGCAUGAUCGUAAGGACAUGUGGAGCGCUUAGAAGUGAGAAUGCCGGUGUGAGUAGCGAAAGACGGGUGAGAAUCCCGUCCACCGAUUGACUAAGGUUUCCAGAGGAAGGCUCGUCCGCUCUGGGUUAGUCGGGUCCUAAGCUGAGGCCGACAGGCGUAGGCGAUGGAUAACAGGUUGAUAUUCCUGUACCACCUAUAAUCGUUUUAAUCGAUGGGGGGACGCAGUAGGAUAGGCGAAGCGUGCGAUUGGAUUGCACGUCUAAGCAGUAAGGCUGAGUAUUAGGCAAAUCCGGUACUCGUUAAGGCUGAGCUGUGAUGGGGAGAAGACAUUGUGUCUUCGAGUCGUUGAUUUCACACUGCCGAGAAAAGCCUCUAGAUAGAAAAUAGGUGCCCGUACCGCAAACCGACACAGGUAGUCAAGAUGAGAAUUCUAAGGUGAGCGAGCGAACUCUCGUUAAGGAACUCGGCAAAAUGACCCCGUAACUUCGGGAGAAGGGGUGCUCUUUAGGGUUAACGCCCAGAAGAGCCGCAGUGAAUAGGCCCAAGCGACUGUUUAUCAAAAACACAGGUCUCUGCUAAACCGUAAGGUGAUGUAUAGGGGCUGACGCCUGCCCGGUGCUGGAAGGUUAAGAGGAGUGGUUAGCUUCUGCGAAGCUACGAAUCGAAGCCCCAGUAAACGGCGGCCGUAACUAUAACGGUCCUAAGGUAGCGAAAUUCCUUGUCGGGUAAGUUCCGACCCGCACGAAAGGCGUAACGAUUUGGGCACUGUCUCAACGAGAGACUCGGUGAAAUCAUAGUACCUGUGAAGAUGCAGGUUACCCGCGACAGGACGGAAAGACCCCGUGGAGCUUUACUGUAGCCUGAUAUUGAAAUUCGGCACAGCUUGUACAGGAUAGGUAGGAGCCUUUGAAACGUGAGCGCUAGCUUACGUGGAGGCGCUGGUGGG